ACGCUGGCGGCAGGCCUAACACAUGCAAGUCGAGCGGUAGCACAGAGAGCUUGCUCUCGGGUGACGAGCGGCGGACGGGUGAGUAAUGUCUGGGAAACUGCCUGAUGGAGGGGGAUAACUACUGGAAACGGUAGCUAAUACCGCAUAACGUCGCAAGACCAAAGUGGGGGACCUUCGGGCCUCAUGCCAUCAGAUGUGCCCAGAUGGGAUUAGCUAGUAGGUGGGGUAACGGCUCACCUAGGCGACGAUCCCUAGCUGGUCUGAGAGGAUGACCAGCCACACUGGAACUGAGACACGGUCCAGACUCCUACGGGAGGCAGCAGUGGGGAAUAUUGCACAAUGGGCGCAAGCCUGAUGCAGCCAUGCCGCGUGUGUGAAGAAGGCCUUCGGGUUGUAAAGCACUUUCAGCGGGGAGGAAGGCGUUAAGGUUAAUAACCUUGUCGAUUGACGUUACCCGCAGAAGAAGCACCGGCUAACUCCGUGCCAGCAGCCGCGGUAAUACGGAGGGUGCAAGCGUUAAUCGGAAUUACUGGGCGUAAAGCGCACGCAGGCGGUCUGUCAAGUCGGAUGUGAAAUCCCCGGGCUCAACCUGGGAACUGCAUUCGAAACUGGCAGGCUAGAGUCUUGUAGAGGGGGGUAGAAUUCCAGGUGUAGCGGUGAAAUGCGUAGAGAUCUGGAGGAAUACCGGUGGCGAAGGCGGCCCCCUGGACAAAGACUGACGCUCAGGUGCGAAAGCGUGGGGAGCAAACAGGAUUAGAUACCCUGGUAGUCCACGCCGUAAACGAUGUCGAUUUGGAGGUUGUGCCCUUGAGGCGUGGCUUCCGGAGCUAACGCGUUAAAUCGACCGCCUGGGGAGUACGGCCGCAAGGUUAAAACUCAAAUGAAUUGACGGGGGCCCGCACAAGCGGUGGAGCAUGUGGUUUAAUUCGAUGCAACGCGAAGAACCUUACCUGGUCUUGACAUCCACAGAACUUUCCAGAGAUGGAUUGGUGCCUUCGGGAACUGUGAGACAGGUGCUGCAUGGCUGUCGUCAGCUCGUGUUGUGAAAUGUUGGGUUAAGUCCCGCAACGAGCGCAACCCUUAUCCUUUGUUGCCAGCGGUCCGGCCGGGAACUCAAAGGAGACUGCCAGUGAUAAACUGGAGGAAGGUGGGGAUGACGUCAAGUCAUCAUGGCCCUUACGACCAGGGCUACACACGUGCUACAAUGGCAUAUACAAAGAGAAGCGACCUCGCGAGAGCAAGCGGACCUCAUAAAGUAUGUCGUAGUCCGGAUUGGAGUCUGCAACUCGACUCCAUGAAGUCGGAAUCGCUAGUAAUCGUAGAUCAGAAUGCUACGGUGAAUACGUUCCCGGGCCUUGUACACACCGCCCGUCACACCAUGGGAGUGGGUUGCAAAAGAAGUAGGUAGCUUAACCUUCGGGAGGGCGCUUACCACUUUGUGAUUCAUGA
rnacentral:rRNA from 1 species